GACAGAGGUGGCGAGCGUUGUUCGGAUUUACUGGGCGUAAAGCGUGGGUAGGCGGUCCGGUCAGUCAGAUGUGAAAUCCCACCGCUCAACGGUGGAACGGCGUCUGAUACUGCCGAACUUGAGUGUGGUAGAGGUUACUGGAAUUGUUGGUGUAGUGGUGAAAUACGUAGAUAUCAACAGGAAUACCGGAGGCGAAGGCGAGUAACUGGGCCAACACUGACACUGAGACCCGAAAGCGUGGGGAUCAAACAGGAUUAGAUACCCCUGUAGU
rnacentral:rRNA from 1 species